AUUGAACGCUGGCGGCAUGCCUUACACAUGCAAGUCGAACGGCAGCGCGGGAGCUUGCUCCUGGCGGCGAGUGGCGAACGGGUGAGUAAUACAUCGGAACGUGCCCAGUAGUGGGGGAUAGCCCGGCGAAAGCCGGAUUAAUACCGCAUACGACCUACGGGUGAAAGCGGGGGAUCGCAAGACCUCGCGCUAUUGGAGCGGCCGAUGUCAGAUUAGCUAGUUGGUGGGGUAAAAGCCUACCAAGGCGACGAUCUGUAGCUGGUCUGAGAGGACGACCAGCCACACUGGGACUGAGACACGGCCCAGACUCCUACGGGAGGCAGCAGUGGGGAAUUUUGGACAAUGGGGGCAACCCUGAUCCAGCCAUGCCGCGUGCGGGAAGAAGGCCUUCGGGUUGUAAACCGCUUUUGUCGGGGAAGAAACGGUCUGCGCUAAUACCGCGGGCUAAUGACGGUACCCGAAGAAUAAGCACCGGCUAACUACGUGCCAGCCGCCGCCGUAACAC
rnacentral:rRNA from 1 species